CGCAGCCAGGAAGGAAAGGGGCUCCCCGGAGAGUGAGAGACCCUUAAACCUCUCCUGUCAGUCAGUAGGAACCAGAAUCAUUGUUCGUUUUAUCACUGCUGUGACUCCAGCUCCCAGCGUGCUUAAUUUUGGGAUGGAUGGCUAAAGGACUUUCCCCCGGAGCCUGGAGCCGUCAUACGCUGAGGGGUCUCGCUUUGUCGCCCAGACGAAUGCAGUGGCGCGAUCACACUUCAAGUAACCUCACAUUCCUGUGCUCAAGUGAUCCUCCUGCCUCAGCCUUUGGAGUACUUGGGACUACAGGCGCGCACAACCGCGCCCGGCGAAUUUUUAAAAUUUUUUUGUAGAGCCAGGGGUCCCACUUUGUUGCCCAGGCUAGUCUCCAACUCCUGGCCUCAAGCAAUCCUCCCGCUUCAGCCUCUCAAAAUGCUGGGAUUACGCGCGUGAGCCACCAGCCUGGCUUACUUCCGUCAUCAUACCCUGUCUCUGGCUGGCAUGAGAUGGAUAGUGAGAUAGAACUUCCCAUUCUGUGUUCCCAGGACCUGGAGGAAAUCUACAGAUGUGAAACAAGACAACUGUGGUCCUUAUUUCCCUAUGGGAUGGGUGGGGCUCUAUUUAGGUGUUACCAGCAGAGUAGACAGACAUGUCACUCAGUGGCCAGGGCUUUGAUGGAUCCAGAGGGCUGAGGGAGCUGUCCACCCCAGGCUGGAGGGUCAAGGAAGCCUUCUUUCUGGGAGGGUACCCUCAAGCUAAGACCUGAAGAACGAGUAGGAGCUGGGUUAAGAGGAAGGUAGUGAAGAAUCUUGAGGAGGAUGGCAGGUACGGACGGUUCUGGUUGCUGCAAGCACUUCACUACGGUCAGGGCAUAGGAAAGGAGCUCUAACUUGAAAGCCAUGAUU
rnacentral:lncRNA from 1 species